rnacentral:rRNA from 1 species
GACGAACCGUGCGAACGUUGUUCGGAAUCACUGGGCUUAAAGGGCGCGUAGGCGGGUUCGCAAGUGAGGGGUGAAAUCUUUCAGCUUAACUGGAAAACAGCCCCUGAUACUGCGAGUCUCGAGGGAGGUAGGGGCAUGUGGAACUUCCGGUGGAGCGGUGAAAUGCGUAGAUAUCGGAAGGAACGCCGGUGGCGAAAGCGACGUGCUGGACCUCUUCUGACGCUGAGGCGCGAAAGCUAGGGGAGCAAACGGG